rnacentral:rRNA from 1 species
AUACGGAGGGAGCAAGCGUUAUUCGGAAUCACUGGGCGUAAAGGACGCGUAGGCGGGUUUGUAAGUCAGGUGUGAAAUCCUACAGCUCAACUGUAGAACUGCACUUGAGACUACAGACCUAGAGUAUGGAAGGGGCAGAUGGAAUUAGUGGUGUAGGGGUAAAAUCCGUAGAUAUCACUAGGAAUACCGAAAGCGAAGGCGAUCUGCUGGGACAUUACUGACGCUGAGGCGUGAAAGCGUGGGGAGCAAACAGGAUUAGAAACCCCAGUAGUCC